ensembl:lncRNA
CCCAUAGAUGGCAGCCCACCAGGCUCCCCCGUCCCUGGGAUUCUCCAGGCAAGAACACUGGAGUGGGUUGCCAUUUCCUUCUCCAAUGCAUCAAAGUGAAAAGUGAAAGUGAAGUCGCUCAGUCGUGUCUGACUCUUCGAGACUCCAUGGACUGCAGCCCACCAGGCUCCUCUGUCCAUGGGAUUUUCCAGGCAAGAGCACUGGAGUGGGGUGCUAUUGCCUUCUCCACAACAGGGAUCCCUGGUCCUCACAUCUUUUUUUCCUGAAAUAUACUUUAUCAUUUGGACCAUAUGAUAGACCCUUCUGCUACUUGCAUUUUUCCCUUGGCAAUAGAUCUUGGACAUUUUCCUGUCUGUACAUAUCAAUCUACCUCAUUUUUCUUAACUCUUCAUAGAGAGUUCCGUGGUUGUUUAUUUGUUUAUCUAACGUGAUAAUUGGUUAUUUAUUUUGUAGCUAGUCAGUUACCGAAUUUCCUUUUAAUUGCUUUGUUGUUGUUAUUGUUAAUUCUCUUGCCUUUUUCACAUAGAUAAUAGUUCUGAGUCGUGAUGGUAACUUUACCUCCAUAUUUUUAAAUAAUCUUAUUUCACUACCUUAUCACGUUGACCAGCACUUUUAGAAUAAUGGUAAAUAACACCUAUAUAAAUUGUGCCGAUAUUGUACAUUCUUCUUUAUAUAUAUUUUUUACGUGGUGAGAAUAUCUCCAGUGUUUCUUCAGAAGUACAAAUUUGACUCUUAGUAUGAGAUAUUCUUAACAUUUAAAUUUAUAUAGUGUUAGGUCCUUUUCUUUCUAAGUUUGCUGAAAGUUUUAUCCAUAAUGGAUGUUGGCAUUUUAUUAAAUGCCUUUUGUUUCCCACAUCUUUCAAGAUGAUCAAAUGGUUUUUCUUUACCAUGACUUAAUAUGAAUCAUUUUAAUAGAUUUGCUAAUGUCAGACUGUCUCUGCAUUUCUAGAAAAAUCUAAUGUUGUCAUGGUAUAUUAUUCUUUGAUGUACAUCUCCUUUCAGUGUUAACAGUGGUUAUUUAUGAUGGGUUGGUUUAUGCUAGACUUUUGUGUUCUUAUCUUUUUCUGAUUUUUCUACAUGGCUCUGCUAUGACUUGUCUAAUAAAAAUUGGAGCUUUAAAAUAAGGAAAAUACUCUGGAUUUGGCUUCCUCUUGUUUUAACGUUUGUUUUUCAAAUGUUAAAGUGGAUACUUGUAUAGUUUUUUUUUUCCUGCUUUCUUUGUCAGGUAUUGAUGUUGGUAAAGGACUUGGGAAGCUCUAUCUCUUUUUUCUAUGCCCUGGAACAAUUUAAAUAAUAUUGAGAAUUUUUUGCUCCUUGAAGUCUUUAUAACAUAUAUAAAUCUGUCCAAGUCUAGUGCCUUUAUAGGAAAUAAUUCUUUGACAAUUUAUUCAAUGUUCCACACUCAUUAGUCUCUUUAAACUUUCUUCAUAUUAUGUAAGUUUUUGGCAACUUAAACUUCCUAAAUAAUCAUUCUGUUCAGACUUUCAAAUUUGCUGGGCUGGCACUAUUAUAUUUUCUUUUCUCGUUCAUAACGUUCUAUGCCUGUGCUUUUUAUUUUAGGGCUUAAAUCUUAAUUUACUGUUUUACCAUUUUAUGAUGUUUUGGUUACUUUUUGGUUUUAUUAAUUCCUUCCUGUAUCUUAUGAUGUUUUUUCACCUUCUCAAGUUGAAUGCCAUUUUAACUUUUUCCUGUUUAAUAGUAGAUAUAGUUACUAGCAUUCAUAAGGCUAUAUGAUUUUUCUUCUGGAUAUUUCUUUAUCUGUAACCCUUACAUGUUUAGGUAUGGUGUUCUAAGUUCUAAUAAUUUGUAAUUUCAGAUUUGACUUUAUAUUUUACUUAAGAGUUAUUUGAAAUUAUACUUUUAACUUUCCAGAUAGUUUGAUACUCUUUGUUGUUGUUUUAACACUUGUUAUAAAUUUCUGCUUUUACUGCCUUGCUGUCAAAGAGGGUGUGGCCUGUACAAUUUCUGCAUUCAGGAGUUCAUUGAUGUUUUCUUGGGACCUAAUAAAUUGUCUAUUUUAAUAAAUAUUCCCAGGAAACUGGAAAGGAAGGUGUAUUCUCAGAAGGGAACAAAAUUCAAUCUAUAUGUGUUGAUUUGACCUUAUUAAUUAUAAUGUUAUGGAGUUUUAAUUUCUGCUGACCUGAUUCAUUAAAGACUAAGGAAAGUAUGUUAGUCUCCCACUACUGAUGUAUUUCUAUUUAUCUUGUGUUUCUAACAGUUUUUGCUUCAUAUGUUUCAGUACAAUGUUAUUUGACAUCUUUUUAUACUUAAAGGGAAAAGGUAUUUUCCUUCAAAGACUUGUAUACUUUUGUGGAUUUUACCUGAUUUUGUUGUAACAGAGUUGUUUAUGUAGAAAUACAUAGUUCAGUAAAAUGUUUGUGUCUGUUUUUAAGCCAACAAAAAUCUUUGAGAAGCCCUCUGUGUCUUAAGAUACUUUGGAAAUUCUGGCUCUUCCCAAGCAUAGGUGGAUAUUCUCCAGGGUGACUUCCUGUGCCCAAGCAAGGAAGACAGUGUGCAUUGAGGCAUUUAAGCCUUUGCAACAGAAUGAGGGUUUAGGGGAGUUGCCAUCAAUUCCAGCUCCUGCUUCAGGGCAGCCCCACGCUUGGUAUGCUCAGAGAUCACCUGCCAUCCAGCUGGUUAUCUUCUGCCUUCAUGAAGUCAAUACCGAAGCUUUCCUUUUUUUUUUUUUUUACAAUUUUUUUUUUUUUUUGAUGUGGACCAUUUUUCAAGUCUUUAUUGAGUUCAUUACAACAUUGCUUCUGUUUUAUAUCUUGGUUUUUUGGCCACGAGGCAUGUGGGAUCUUAGUUCAGCCAGGGAUCGAACUCACACCCCUUGCAUUGGAAGGUGAGGUUUUAACCACUGGACCACCAGGAAAGUCCCCCAAGGCUUUUGUUAACCCAAGAGGCAGUUUUCUGCUGCAGGACUGUCCUUCUGAGCAGAAGGCAGCAGAGAGUGUUAUGCUUGUGUUCCUGACUAUUGCAGGAAAAGCUAAUCUCAGAGACUCACUCUACUGGGAAAGACUUUUCCAGAGCUGUUUAAGCAGAUUAUUCACACGGCAGAGUCUGUGCCCGGCAGAGAACCAACUUUUCCCAAAUACGUGGAGGAGGUGUGAAUCUCAGUUCACAGCUCAGGAGUAAAAGAAAUACCACCUUCUCUAUCAUCCCUUCAUUCAAGAAAAUGUCUGUUUGGGGCCUCGAUCUACCAGCCUCAUGCAAUUUGAUCUCAGUCACUCCUGGGAUCCCCUUUUCUCCAGAGCUUUCCCUGCCGUGCAGAAAUCCCCAUGAGGCUGUCCUGGGCUCUGACCUCAGAUCCUCUACGCACCACCCCCUGUUUGACAACAAAGGUUGAGUGGAUGGUGAUUUGACUUUCGUGUGUGCAUGCCAAGUUGCUUCAGUAAUGUCCACCAGGCUUCUGUCCAUAGGAUUCUCCAGGCAAGAAUACUGGAGUGGGGUGCCAUGCCCUCCUCCAGGGGAUCUUCCUGACCCAAGGAUUGAACCCAUGUUUCCUGCAGCUCUUGCAUUGCAGGCAAAUUCUUUACCGCUGAGGCACCUGGGAAGCCCCGAUUUAACUUGAAAGGCUGCUAGCUGGAUCAGCCGAUGUGUGUUUGCAAGAGUGAGCACACUACUGAGUGGAAGUGAUUCUGUGGCCACUCAUGUUCACUUGCUUUCCAGACCCUCCCAGCUCACUCGUGAGUGGCCUCAAGUGCUAUGUGAACCCCCUUCCAGAGGGGCCUCCUUACACCAGUCAUGCCCUGUUUGGGGCACAAAACAGCAAAUGCCCCUUCUCUGGGACAUUUGGGAAAAUUGACCUCAAUUUUGCAAUAAUCUUCCCAUGAAUGAAGUUUUCCUUUCCAGUUCCUUUUUUUAAAAAAUAUUUAUUUCCUUAAUUCACUUAUGGCUGCACUGGGUCUUGCUGCUAUGCUCAGGCUUUCUCUGGUUGCAGCAAGUGGGGGCUCCUCUCUAGUUGCAGUGCACGGGCUUCUCUGAGGGGGCUUCUCUUGCUGUGGCUCCCGGGCUCUAGGCGCGUGAGCACCAGUAGUUGUGGCACAUGGGCUUAGCUGCCCUGUGACUGUGGGAUCUUCUUUUAAUUUCAGCAUGGGAACCCUUAGUUGUGGCAUGUGGGAAUCUUACUUAGUUCCUUGACCUGGGAUCGAACCCUUGUAUCCUGUAUUGAAAGGUGAAUCCUUAACCACUGGACCACCUGGGAAGUCCUCAUAUGAGUUCUUAAAAGCAGAGCACCUUUCCUGGCUGUGGUCAGAAAGAGACGGUAAUGAAAGAAGAAUCAGAAAGAUGCCGUGUUGCUGGCUUUGAAGAUUAAUGAAGGGGCCACAAAUCGAGAACUGCAGGCCACCUCCAGAAACUGAAAGAGCUUCUAGCUUCUCCCCUAAAGCUUCAAAAAAGGAAUUCAACCUUGCUGACACAAGGAUACUAACCCAAGGAGAGCCACACUGGACUUCAGACCCAUGGAAUGGUAAGAUAAUAAAUCUAUGCUGUUUUCAG